UUGUCAUGUAGAAGACAAGGGCAAAUUAAUAUUUUAGAAUUAUUAGAUAAUGUUGCUUUCCUAUAUUAAUUUAAAAUGAGCAUUAUAGCUACCAAGCCAUGCAGGUUUACCCCGGUAACAGUUUGAUGAGACGCCUUUUGCCUGACCUGAGAAAUUCAAGACACAAUAGGUGUUAAUUAUAGAAAACAGCAUCCGAUUAAGUUGUAAAAGGUUUCAUUAGAAGAGUGUUUAAUUGCGAUUUUGGAAUGUCCCCAAUUUUUACCCAGAAGUCAAGAAAUUAAUUAAAGAAGUUUAAAUUUUUGGACGUUCUUAUCCGAAUACACUGGGCUGGUUGGGAAAAUCGGCGUUCCGUCGAUGGCACGGCCGAAUAUUAUAAAAGACUUUUCGCCAGUGACCGCUGCCAUAUACCAGCGAGAUCCCCAGAGUUGAUCGGAUCGGCCGCCUCCCUUGGUGGCACUUUAGCCCGUCCGUCCGUCCACUCGUUCUGUCGACAUCACAUUCAAGUUGCCGAAGAUUGCCGCUACUUUCGUCUG